rnacentral:lncRNA from 1 species
AAUAAAAGGUGGAUGGCACUACUACGUUUGUUGGCAAGCGUUUAAUGGAUGUAAGCAUCUGGAGGAUUCUGGCUCAAGUACGUAUAGCCCUGGGUCAGGCCUCUAAACUCUGGAGAGAGCACCUUGACCAAAAUAGCAUGAAGAAUGAGAAAGCUCUUCCUCUAAAGUUUGUAAUGCAUUUAAAUGUCUCUGCCUUUGCUGAGAUCAAGCAGACAUUCUAAACUGGGUAAACAAGAAAAAUAUGAAUUGUCAAUGAAUCAAGUUGGAGACAUUUCAAGCAAAUCUCUGAGAGAAUCAAUAUUAUGUCAAGGUUUAUUCCAUAUCUUCAUUAAUGAUCCAGAAAUACAGCGAGCAUCAGAGAAGACUGACAUAUAAAACAAAGGCAUUGAGAAGGUGUGAUUAACAUUUAAACACAAUAGUUGUUGCCAUAAGAAWUAUGUCAAGUUGCUGGAUGAUCCUCACCAGUUUUUCUGAUAGAGCUCUUCCUUAUGGAGCAAAAGAUGCUGGAGCACUUCAUUUCCUUGAGAAGAACUGCUGUGCCCGGAAACCCAAACAACGAGGCUGCGCCACAGAAACUGUCUCAUG